AGACGGGUGGCUUAAGAUCAUUAUGCCAACAUCCUAGUCAAAAGACGCAGUCCUCGGUCUAGACAGGCAGUAUCAACCAAGGCUAUAACACUCCACCGAAGUAGAGCCACAUUCCUUAGUCAUUAUCCUACCAUCCAAACCGAUGCUGGCCCAGUAAGCUGCGAGGAACCCAACCAAGAAGGAAAGGAUCGCAAAAUACCAAGUCUGAUCUCAAGCCCUUCCCUUUCAACAAUUUCACGUACUUUUUCACUCUCUUUUCAAAGUUCUUUUCAUCUUUCCAUCACUGUACUUGUUCGCUAUCGGUCUCUCGCCAAUAUUUAGCUUUAGAUGGAAUUUACCACCCACUUAGAGCUGCAUUCCCAAACAACUCGACUCUUCGAAAGCACUUUACAUAGAAUUGGGCAUCUCAUCGCACGGGAUUCUCACCCUCUGUGACGUCCUGUUCCAAGGAACAUAGACAAGAGCCAACUCCAAAGUUACCUUCUUCAAAUUACAACUCGGACACCGAAGGUGCCAGAUUUCAAAUUUGAGCUUUUGCCGCUUCACUCGCCGUUACUAAGGCAAUCCCUGUUGGUUUCUUUUCCUCCGC
rnacentral:rRNA from 1 species